rnacentral:rRNA from 1 species
CCUACGGGAGGCAGCAGUGAGGAAUAUUGGUCAAUGGCCGGAAGGCUGAACCAGCCAUGCCGCGUGAAGGUCAGUGCCCUAUGGGCGUUAAACUUCUUUUGUGCGGGAGCAAUAAUGGUCACGUGUGGCCAGACGAGAGUACCGUACGAAUAAGCAUCGGCUACCUCCGUGCCAGCAGCCGCGGUAAUACGGGGGAUGCAAGCGUUAUCCGGAUUUAUUGGGUUUAAAGGGUGCGUAGGCUGUGAGGUAAGUCAGCGGUGAAAUGCCCCAGCUCAACGGGGUGAAGUGCCAUUGAUACUGCCUUGCUGGAAUGCGGAUGCCGUGGGAGGAAUGUGUGGUGUAGCGGUGACAUGCAUAGAUAUCACACAGAACACCGAUUGCGAAGGCAUCUCACGAAUCCGCGAUUGACGCUGAUGCACGAAAGCGUGGGUAUCAAACAGGAUUAGAUACCCCUGUAGUC